rnacentral:rRNA from 1 species
GUGUCAGCCGCCGCGGUAAUACGAACUGUGCAAACGUUAUUCGGAUUCACUGGGCUUAAAGGGUGCGUAGGCGGCUUGCCAAGUAGGGUGUGAAAGCCCCCGGCUUAACCGGGGAAUUGCGCCCUAAACUGGCGAGCUGGAGUGAGAUAGGGGUGUGUGGAACUUCCGGUGGAGCGGUGAAAUGUGUUGAUAUCGGAAGGAACGCCGGUGGCGAAAGCGACACACUGGGUCUCAACUGACGCUGAGGCACGAAAGCCAGGGGAGCGAACGGGAUUAGAAACCCGCGUAGUCC